rnacentral:lncRNA from 1 species
AUGGUGAGAAUCACGGGGCAGAAGAAUCUCUCUGCAAGGGCUGGGAUGGGCCAAACAAACGGUGCUUCGCCUCUCAGCGGACACCCUUCAUCUUCUAGCGGGGCUCCGCCUGGUUCCAGGAUCAGGCAGGAGGGUGAAGCUUCCGCCCCGAACCGCGGACGCCCUCUCUCUUUCCCAGAAUCAACCCUCACUCUCCAGUGCCUGUGGUUUCAGCAAACUCUGCCCUCUGAUCCUUCAGGAAACAAAGAACACUUUUUAUUGGGGUUUUGUCUUCUCCCCAAGGCUCCGCCUGCCUCCAGGAUAAACGCCAUGCAAACCUGUAACCCAUCCUGUUCUCAUCCUUCAGGAGUCAACGCUGAAUCUCGCGUUUUUCCUCCUUCCUGUGCCUGGAGGUGCUCUCUGUUCGCUUUUGUGUUUGGGAUCCAGAGUUUUAUUUAGCAUCUGUCGGGGGCUUGAAAUGAGGGGAGCAGGAAAGACCUGGGGUCCCGGGAGGGACUGACACUAAACGGGGGACAGGAGCCAGUGCGUGUGGAGGCUGUGGGUGUUGGAGGUGAAAGAGGGAGAAGAUCCGGUUCCUCCCCUGCCCCAAAGAAGGAGGCAGCCAUCCCAGAAGAGGGCCGCGUCUGAGGCUCCCUAUUGGGCGGGUGGAAACGCUUUCCGAUGGAUUACGGAGAGAAGCCUGCUCCACUUCCGGGGCGGGAAUACCCCGACGUCAAGCCCUCAAGCUUCAUCCUUGCCUCUGAGUGUGAAGGAGUCAAGAGGCCAUGAAAAUGACUCUUGGGAAAACACCAGACCGAAAAAAGAGGUGUCGUGCCUAUAAAUGCAAUGCAAUGCAAAGGCCGUGAAAAUUUCCUCUGGGUAUUUCGAGGAGCUCAACCACGUUGAGCCUGCUAUGGAGGAAGAAAAAGUCGUACAUGCUAAGUCGGCUUUUAAAAAAGGCAAAUGAAGCAGAGGGCUUGUCCAGGUAGAUACCAAGACACACCUCCACGGGACAGCAACAAAAAGUGGGCGCUGAAAACGUGUCAAGGGCGCAGAAAAGAGUGCAGAGUAAAACGUGGGUCUGUAUGCGAACUUAAUAUACGGUGAUGGUCGUAGCCAAAGCUAGUCAGGAAAGAGCAGAUGGUUUGGUAGAUAGUAUUGAGGAAAUUGUAAGUAAAUCAAGCAAAAUAAAACUGAAUCUCUACCUAAGACGUAAAUAAUA